GGAGUGUUAUAAUCCCUGUGUUACCCAUGUGUGGUUCCUGGCCCGCGCCAGUUAUUUUAUCGACGGAUCACAGGGCGUUGUGCUCCAAAGUACUCGCGCCACUAGUCAUAAGUAAUGAGUAAGUCCCCGAGGGGGAAGCGCCGGCGUCGAGAAAGAGAAGAGUGGGGAGAGUAGAGGAAGAAAGAAACGCACCGACAAAGUUCGGAAGGUUCAUUGUGACCGAACAGUCCAGCCGAAUAGACACGCAAAAUUUACGUAAGAUCUAUCCCAGGAGAAUAAUUGCCGGGGAGUACGUGACGCGACGCGCUGACCAGGUCUUUGCCGCCAAUUCAAGUAACUCACUGAGGAGAUCUUUGUG